UAGGGAAUCUUCCACAAUGGGCGAAUGCCUGAUGGAGCAACGCCGCGUGUGUGAUGAAGGGUUUCGGCUCGUAAAACACUGUUGUAAGAGAAGAAUGACAUUGAGAGUAACUGUUCAAUGUGUGACGGUAUCUUACCAGAAAGGAACGGCUAAAUACGCGCCAG
rnacentral:rRNA from 1 species